UGCUUGCCGUUCCACUUAGUAUGGUGGUUAUGACACUAGGCUUGUAACCCAGUGUACUCGGGUUCGAAUCCCGAAUAGGCAA